UUGGAGGGCAAGUCUGGUGCCAGCAGCCGCGGUAAUUCCAGCUCCAAUAGCGUAUAUUAAAGUUGUUGCAGUUAAAAAGCUCGUAGUUGAAUUUCAGGCCUGGCUGGACGGUCCGCCCUUCGGGUGAGUACUGUCUGUGGUCGGGUCCUACCUUCUGGCGAAGCGUCAUGGCCUUAACCGGCCGUGGCGGGGAACCAGGACUUUUACUGUGAAAAAAUUAGAGUGUUCAAAGCAGGCAAAUCGCUUGGAUACAUUAGCAUGGAAUAAUGGAAUAGGACAAUGGUUCUAUUUGUUGGUUUCUAGGACCGUUGUAAUGAUUAAUAGGGAUAGUUGGGGGCAUUAGUAUUCAAUUGUCAGAGGUGAAAUUCUUGGAUUUAUUGAAGACUAACUACUGCGAAAGCAUUUGCCAAGGAUGUUUUCAUUAAUCAAGAACGAAAGUUAGGGGAUCGAAGACGAUCAGAUACCGUCGUAGUCUUAACCAUAAACUAUGCCGACUAGGAAUCGGGCGAUGUUGAAAAAAUGACGCGCUCGGCACCUUAUGGGAAACCAAAG
rnacentral:rRNA from 1 species